rnacentral:rRNA from 1 species
AAACUCAAAGGAAUUGACGGGGACCCGCACAAGCGGUGGAUGAUGUGGUUUAAUUCGAUGCAACGCGAAAAACCUUACCCACCUUUGACAUGUACGGAACCCUUUAGAGAUAGAGGGGUGCUCGAAAGAGAGCCGUAACACAGGUGCUGCAUGGCUGUCGUCAGCUCGUGUCGUGAGAUGUUGGGUUAAGUCCCGCAACGAGCGCAACCCUUGUCAUUAGUUGCUACAUUCAGUUGGGCACUCUAAUGAGACUGCCGGUGACAAGCCGGAGAAGGUGGGGAUGACGUCAAGUCCUCAUGGCCCUUAUAGGUGGGGCUACACACGUCAUACAAUGGCUGGUACAAAGGGUUGCCAACCCGCGAGGGGGAGCCAAUCCCAUAAAGCCAGUCGUAGUCCGGAUCGUAGUCUGCAACUCGACUACGUGAAGUCGGAAUCGCUAGUAAUCGUGGGUCAGAAUGUCACGGUGAAUACGUUCCCGGGUCUU